rnacentral:rRNA from 1 species
GUGAGGAAUAUUGCGCAAUGGAGGCAACUCUGACGCAGCCAUGGCGCGUGCAGGAAGAAGGCGCUACGCGUUGUAAACUGCUUUUAACCGGGAAGAAACCCCAGGACGUGUCCUGGGUUGACGGUACCGGAGGAAUAAGCACCGGCUAACUUCGUGCCAGCAGCCGCGGUAAUACGAAGGGUGCAAGCGUUAUCCGGAUUCAUUGGGUUUAAAGGGUGCGUAGGCGGAGCGUUAAGUCAGUGGUGAAAUCCUGCAGCUUAACUGUAGACUUGCCAUUGAUACUGGCGCUCUUGAGUGCGCUUGAAGUGGGCGGAAUGUGCCGUGUAGCGGUGAAAUGCUUAGAUAUGGCACAGAACACCAAUUGCGAAGGCAGCUCACUAAGGCGAUACUGACGCUGAGGCACGAAAGCGUGGGGAUCGAACAGGAUUAGAAACCCGAGUAGUCC